ACGCACGCUGGCGGCGCGCUUAACACAUGCCAGUCGAACGGAAAGGCCUGCUUUCCCUUGUGGAUUGCGGGUACUCGAGUGGCGAACGGGUGAGUAACACGUGAGUGAUCUGCCCCCAACUUGGGUAUAAGCCUGGGAAACUGGGUCUAAUUCCCGAUAGGACUGCAGGGUGGUGCCUGUGGUGGAAAACGAUUUUCUAGUGGUUGGGGAUGAGCUCGCGGCCUAUCAGCUUGUUGGUGGGGUAAUGGCCUACCAAGGCGGCGACGGGUAGCCGGCCUGAGAGGGUGGACGGCCACAUUGGGACUGAGAUACGGCCCAGACUCCUACGGGAGGCAGCAGUGGGGAAUAGUGCACAAUGGGCGGAAGCCUGAUGCAGCGACGCCGCGUGGGGGAUGACGGCCUUCGGGUUGUAAACUCCUUUCGACCGCGAGGAAGCCACCUGGUUGGAAGGGUGGUGACGGUAGUGGUAGAAGAAGCACCGGCUAACUACGUG
rnacentral:rRNA from 1 species